UACGGGGGGGGCAAGCGUUGUUCGGAAUUACUGGGCGUAAAGGGCUCGUAGGCGGCCAACUAAGUCAGACGUGAAAUCCCUCGGCUUAACCGGGGAACUGCAUCUGAUACUGGAUGGCUUGAGUUCGGGAGAGGGAUGCGGAAUUCCAGGUGUAGCGGUGAAAUGCGCAGAUAUCAGGAGGAACACCGGUGGCGAAGGCGGCAUCCUGGACCGGUAUUGACGCUGAGGCGCGAAAGCCAGGGGAGCAAACGGG
rnacentral:rRNA from 1 species